CCGCCGCCGCCGCCGCCGCCGCCGCCUGUGAUGGAAGAUUGGUAUUACAUGACAAACAGCCAUUUGCGUGUUUAUUUACACCCCCACCUCCAUGACUCAGACACAGGGCUGCGUGGCACCCAGCGCCAAACAACCCUGCCUUACAGUUUGGAGAAACAGCAAAGGGGAAGGAAGGAAUAUUUGCAAGUUUUGCCGGAGCCUGUUCUAAGCCGCUUCGUUUCCCCUGAAGCCCGAGCCUCGCCGCUGUGGGCCUGAAGGCGAGAAGCCUCCGCGGUGGGGUGGCUGUGGAUGGGGGCUGUGAACCCGCAGAGGGUGUUACCACUAGAGUCUAGUUGUACAGACUCUACUCGGAGCCCUUUAUAAGGAUCGA